GAGUAACGCGUAGGUAACCUGCCUGUAGCGGGGGAUAACUAUUGGAAACGAUAGCUAAUACCGCAUAAUAUCUUUGAUUGCAUGAUUGAAGUUUGAAAGAUGCAACUGCAUCACUACCAGAUGGACCUGCGUUGUAUUAGCUAGUAGGUGAGGUAAAGGCUCACCUAGGCGACGAUACAUAGCCGACCUGAGAGGGUGAACGGCCACACUGGGACUGAGACACGGCCCAGACUCCUACGGGAGGCAGCAGUAGGGAAUCUUCGGCAAUGGGGGCAACCCUGACCGAGCAACGCCGCGUGAGUGAAGAAGGUUUUCGGAUCGUAAAGCUCUGUUGUAAGAGAAGAACGUGUGUGAGAGUGGAAAGUUCACACAGUGACGGUAACUUACCAGAAAGGGACGGCUAACUACGUGCCAGCAGCCGCGGUAACACGUAGGUCCCGAGCGUUAUCCGGAUUUAUUGGGCGUAAAGCGAGCGCAGGCGGUUGGAUAAGUCUGAAGUUAAAGGCUGUGGCUCAACCAUAGUAUGCUUUGGAAACUGUUCAACUUGAGUGCAGAAGGGGAGAGUGGAAUUCCAUGUGUAGCGGUGGAAUGCGUAGAUAUAUGGAGGAACACCGGUGGCGAAAGCGGCUCUCUGGUCUGUAACUGACGCUGAGGCUCGAAAGCGUGGGUAGCGAACAGGAUUAGAUACCCUGGUAGUCCACGCCGUAAACGAUGA
rnacentral:rRNA from 1 species